AGCGAACGCUGGCGGCAGGCCUAACACAUGCAAGUCGAACGGAUCCUUCGGGAUUAGUGGCGGACGGGUGAGUAACACGUGGGAACGUGCCCUUUGGUUCGGAACAACUCAGGGAAACUUGAGCUAAUACCGGAUGUGCCCUUCGGGGGAAAGAUUUAUCGCCAUUGGAGCGGCCCGCGUCUGAUUAGCUAGUUGGUGAGGUAACGGCCCACCAAGGCGACGAGCAGUAGCUGGUCUGAGAGGAUGAUCAGCCACACUGGGACUGAGACACGGCCCAGACUCCUACGGGAGGCAGCAGUGGGGAAUCUUGCGCAAUGGGCGAAAGCCUGACGCAGCCAUGCCGCGUGAAUGAUGAAGGUCUUAGGAUUGUAAAAUUCUUUCAGCGGGGACGAUAAUGACGGUACCCGCAGAAGAAGCUCCGGCUAACUUCGUG
rnacentral:rRNA from 1 species